rnacentral:rRNA from 1 species
UACGUAGGGGGCAAGCGUUGUCCGGAAUCAUUGGGCGUAAAGGGUGCGUAGGCGGCGCGGUAAGUCGGGUGUGAAAUCUUGGAGCUUAACUCCGAAACUGCAUUCGAUACUGCCGUGCUUGAGGACUGGAGAGGAGACUGGAAUUUACGGUGUAGCGGUGAAAUGCGCAGAUAUCAGGAAGAACACCCGUGGCGAAGGCGGCUCUCUGGUACGUGACUGACGCUGAGACGCGAAAGCGUGGGGAGCAAACAGG